UAUGUACUCCCUCCGUCCCAAAAUAACUGUCUUAAGCUUAGUACAAAUUUAUACUAGAUCUAGUAUAAAGUUGAGACAGUUAUUUUGGGACGGAGGGAGUAGUAU
rnacentral:pre_miRNA from 1 species